rnacentral:rRNA from 1 species
AUUGAACGCUGGCGGCAGGCUUAACACAUGCAAGUCGAGCGGGGAUAGGGUGCUUGCACCUGAUUCCUAGCGGCGGACGGGUGAGUAAUGCUUAGGAAUCUGCCUAUUAGUGGGGGACAACGUUCCGAAAGGGACGCUAAUACCGCAUACGUCCUACGGGAGAAAGCAGGGGAUCUUCGGACCUUGCGCUAAUAGAUGAGCCUAAGUCGGAUUAGCUAGUUGGUGGGGUAAAGGCCUACCAAGGCGACGAUCUGUAGCGGGUCUGAGAGGAUGAUCCGCCACACUGGGACUGAGACACGGCCCAGACUCCUACGGGAGGCAGCAGUGGGGAAUAUUGGACAAUGGGGGCAACCCUGAUCCAGCCAUGCCGCGUGUGUGAAGAAGGCCUUUUGGUUGUAAAGCACUUUAAGCGAGGAGGAGGCUUACCUGGUUAAUACCUGGGAUAAGUGGACGUUACUCGCAGAAUAAGCACCGGCUAACUCU